UACAGAGGGGGCAAGCGUUGUUCGGAAUUACUGGGCGUAAAGGGCGCGUAGGCGGCUUGGCAAGUGGAAGGUGAAAUCCCUCGGCUUAACCGAGGAACUGCCCUCCAAACUGCUUCGCUUGAGACCGGGAGAGGUGAGUGGAAUUCCCAGUGUAGCGGUGAAAUGCGUAGAUAUUGGGAGGAACACCAGUGGCGAAGGCGGCUCACUGGACCGGUACUGACGCUGAUGCGCGAAAGCGUGGGGAGCAAACGGG
rnacentral:rRNA from 1 species